AUACUAUAUGAAACUUGCUGGAGAUAGGUAAUGCACAACCGUCAAGAGUGUAAGGAAAUAUAGUAUAAUCCACGUGGUAGAUGCAGUUGUAGGUUCCAACUGGUGCACAUCUUAUUAGAGACAGCAACCAAGCUCGAAGUAAGCAGAGCGAAGAUAGAAGCUAUACCUCGAUAGGCUUAAUGAGGUGCUUAACAGUCUGACACUAACUGAACAAUAAGUGUCU
ncrna:unclassified sequences RAGATH-7 RNA